rnacentral:rRNA from 1 species
GACAGGGGUCUCAAGCGUUAAUCGGAAUCACUGGGCUUAAAGGGUGCGUAGGCGGGCCUGUAAGUGUCCUGUGAAAUCCCCCGGCUCAACCGGGGGAACUGCGGGGCAUACUGCGGGUCUGAGGAAGGUAGGCGCCGAGGGAACAGUAGGUGGAGCGGUGAAAUGCGUAGAUAUCUACUGGAACGCCGAUGGUGAAGACGCUCGGCUGGGCCUUUCCUGACGCUGAGGCACGAAAGCGUGGGGAGCAAACAGG